AAUGGUUAAGUUAGAAAGGGCGCACGGUGGAUGCCUUGGCACUAGGAGCCGAUGAAGGACGGGACGAACACCGAUAUGCUUCGGGGAGCUGUAAGCAAGCUUUGAUCCGGAGAUUUCCGAAUGGGGAAACCCACUGCUCGUAAUGGAGUAGUAUCCAUACUUGAAUACAUAGAGUAUGAGAAGGCAUACCCGGGGAACUGAAACAUCUAAGUACCCGGAGGAAGAGAAAGCAAAUGCGAUUCCCUGAGUAGCGGCGAGCGAAACGGGAACAGCCCAAACCAAGAGGCUUGCCUCUUGGGGUUGUAGGACACUCUAUACGGAGUUACAAAGGAACGAUAUAAGCGAAGAGGUCUGGAAAGGCCCGCCAAAGAAGGUAACAGCCCUGUAACUGAAAUGUUGUUCUCUCCAGAGUGGAUCCUGAGUACGGCGGAACACGUGAAAUUCCGUCGGAAUCCGGGAGGACCAUCUCCCAAGGCUAAAUACUCCCUAGUGACCGAUAGUGAACCAGUACCGUGAGGGAAAGGUGAAAAGCACCCCGGAAGGGGAGUGAAAUAGAUCCUGAAACCGUGUGCCUACAAGUAGUCAGAGCCCGUUAACGGGUGAUGGCGUGCCUUUUGUAGAAUGAACCGGCGAGUUACGAUCCCGUGCAAGGUUAAGCAGAAGAUGCGGAGCCGCAGCGAAAGCGAGUCUGAAUAGGGCGCAUGAGUACGUGGUCGUAGACCCGAAACCAGGUGAUCUACCCAUGUCCAGGGUGAAGUUCAGGUAACACUGAAUGGAGGCCCGAACCCACGCACGUUGAAAAGUGCGGGGAUGAGGUGUGGGUAGGGGUGAAAUGCCAAUCGAACCUGGAGAUAGCUGGUUCUCUCCGAAAUAGCUUUAGGGCUAGCCUCAAGGUAAGAGUCUCGGAGGUAGAGCACUGAUUGGACUAGGGGCCCCUACCGGGUUACCGAAUUCAGUCAAACUCCGAAUGCCGAUGACUUAUCCUUGGGAGUCAGACUGCGAGUGAUAAGAUCCGUAGUCGAAAGGGAAACAGCCCAGACCGCCAGCUAAGGUCCCAAAGUAUACGUUAAGUGGAAAAGGAUGUGGAGUUGCUUAGACAACCAGGAUGUUGGCUUAGAAGCAGCCACCAUUUAAAGAGUGCGUAAUAGCUCACUGGUCGAGUGACUCUGCGCCGAAAAUGUACCGGGGCUAAACGUAUCACCGAAGCUGCGGACUGUUCUUACGAACAGUGGUAGGAGAGCGUUCUAAGUGCAGUGAAGUCAGACCGGAAGGACUGGUGGAGCGCUUAGAAGUGAGAAUGCCGGUAUGAGUAGCGAAAGACGGGUGAGAAUCCCGUCCACCGAAUGCCUAAGGUUUCCUGAGGAAGGCUCGUCCGCUCAGGGUUAGUCGGGACCUAAGCCGAGGCCGAAAGGCGUAGGCGAUGGACAACAGGUUGAUAUUCCUGUACCACCUCCUCACCAUUUGAGCAAUGGGGGGACGCAGGAGGAUAGGGUAAGCGCGGUAUUGGAUAUCCGCGUCCAAGCAGUUAGGCUGGGAAAUAGGCAAAUCCGUUUCCCGUGAAGGCUGAGCUGUGAUGGCGAGCGAAAUUUAGUAGCGAAGUUCCUGAUUCCACACUGCCAAGAAAAGCCUCUAGCGAGGUGAGAGGUGCCCGUACCGCAAACCGACACAGGUAGGCGAGGAGAGAAUCCUAAGGUGAUCGAGAGAACUCUCGUUAAGGAACUCGGCAAAAUGACCCCGUAACUUCGGGAGAAGGGGUGCUUCUUAGGGUGUUAAAGCCCCGAGAAGCCGCAGUGAAUAGGCCCAGGCGACUGUUUAGCAAAAACACAGGUCUCUGCGAAGCCGUAAGGCGAAGUAUAGGGGCUGACGCCUGCCCGGUGCUGGAAGGUUAAGAGGAGCGCUUAGCGUAAGCGAAGGUGCGAAUUGAAGCCCCAGUAAACGGCGGCCGUAACUAUAACGGUCCUAAGGUAGCGAAAUUCCUUGUCGGGUAAGUUCCGACCCGCACGAAAGGCGCAACGAUCUGGGCACUGUCUCAACGAGAGACUCGGUGAAAUUAUAGUACCUGUGAAGAUGCAGGUUACCCGCGACAGGACGGAAAGACCCCGUGGAGCUUUACUGCAGCCUGAUAUUGAAUGUUGGUACAGCUUGUACAGGAUAGGUAGGAGCCUUGGAAACCGGAGCGCUAGCUUCGGUGGAGGCAUCGGUGGGAUACUACCCUGGCUGUAUUGACCUUCUAACCCGCUGCCCUUAUCGGGCAGGGAGACAGUGUCAGGUGGGCAGUUUGACUGGGGCGGUCGCCUCCUAAAAUGUAACGGAGGCGCC
rnacentral:rRNA from 2 species